rnacentral:rRNA from 1 species
CCCUUAGAUGUUCGGGGCCGCACGCGCGCUACACUGAAGGACUCAGCGUGUCUCUCCCCCUAUCCCGAAAGGGAUGGGCAACCCGUUGAACCUCCUUCGUGCUAGGGAUUGGGGUUUGCAAUUAUCCCCCAUGAACGAGGAAUUCCCAGUAAGCGCGAGUCAUCAGCUCGCGUUGAUUACGUCCCUGCCCUUUGUACACACCGCCCGUCGCUACUACCGAUUGGAUGGUUUAGUGAGACCCUCGGAUCGGUCCCGACUCGGGGUGGGCUUCUGCCCCGGUCGUGGUUUCGCCGAGAAGACGGUCAGACUUGACUAUCUAGAGGAAGUAAAAGUCGUAACA